rnacentral:rRNA from 1 species
GCACAAGCAGCGGAGCGUGUGGUUUAAUUCGAUUGCUACACGAAGAACCUUACCAGGGUUUGACAUGUAAGUGGUAGUGAUCUGAAAAGUGAACGACCCUUCGGGGAGCUUACACAGGUGCUGCAUGGCUGUCGUCAGCUCGUGUCGUGAGAUGUUCGGUUAAGUCCGCUAACGAGCGCAACCCUCACUGUGUGUUAUACGUGUCACACGGGACUGCCGGUUUUAAGCCGGAGGAAGGCGAGGAUGACGUCAAGUCAGCAUGGCCUUUAUAUCCUGGGCUACACACACGCUACAAUGGUCUGUACAACAGGUUGCCAAACCGCGAGGUGGAGCCAAUCCCUAAAACAGGCCUCAGUUCAGAUUGCAGGCUGCAACUCGCCUGCAUGAAGUUGGAGUUGCUAGUAAACGCAGGUCAGCCAUACUGCGUUGAAUACGUUCCCGGGCCUU